rnacentral:tRNA from 1 species
AUUUGCAUAGUUUAAAUAAAACGCUACAUUUUCAUUGUAAAAUUAGAAGUCUUUCUUGUAAAUAC